rnacentral:siRNA from 1 species
GCAUUGGUUGUGGCUUUUGGGAC